AGAUGCAGAGAGUAUUAGAGGCUGGGGAAAAUGUUGGAAGUACCAAGACUCCAUGAGCACAAGAGGACUUGUGAGAGAGAGCAGAGACAGCUAGUUCGGGGACUGGAGAAGGAAAACAGGGGAAUAUGGGAGGAGGGUGGAACCUGAGGAGAGAGUUAGAGCUGAGAGAAUGGGACAGGAAGAGAGUUAGGGGGCAAAACUUGGGGAGUUGAUACAAUUGAGGUUUCUAUAAAGUUUUUAGGGAUAGAAUGUGGGUCUAGGGUCUAUAAGAUGGGUUGUGGGGGGGGUCUUACCUGAAGAUUGCAAGGCAGAAUGACCAAAGGAUGAGCAGUCCCUGCAGGUUGAAGCCCUUCUGUGCCUUCAUGUAGUUCUGCCCCACAAAGAUGAGCAGCAGGUAGAUCAGAGCUAUGGUGAAUGAGGUUGCCCUGGCAGGCAGAAGGGAGAGGGGAUGGGCUUAUGGGUAGGUGCUGGUUAGAGGAAUGCCCACUCAUAUCCCCAGGUGAGUGCUCUGGGUUGGAGUCCUACUUCUGCCAUUUACUAGCUGUGUGACACUGGAAAAACUACUUAGUUUUCUGAGCAUUAGUAUUCCCCUUAUUUUGUAAGAGGGGAAUACCACUCCUUUCCUGACAGUGUUAAUAUAUACAAAGCACCUAGCACAGGGCAGGGGCUAUGUCCAAGGUUUCUUUGAUUACUGCUCUCUCAAUGGGGUUGGGAGCAGGUGACAGCUGCUGACCCAUGCCUAGAAGCAACCCAGGACUGUGGUGUAAGAAGAAUGUGGCAACAGCUUCUGCCUGGUUGGGUCAUGACAAAUUGGAGCACAAAGUCAACCCACAAACACCUCUGAGGAGCUCUUGGGCAAAGCCCGAGGAAAUUUUGGAAGAGUAUCUAGAUUUUGUCUCCUUCUCCACAGCAGGGAUGAUGGAGCAUUUGAGGAACAAGAUGAUAACUGUGAAGGGAAGGCUGUCCCCGGGUACCAGCACUAUGCACGCAUGCGCACACAUGCGGCCACAAAGGAUGGAGAGUCAUCUAUAAGACCUAACCUCUCUGAGGUGCCACACUACCUGCACCUUGGACAACGGAUGCUGAGGUCGGGAGCUUAGGGACCCGGACGAGAGUUAGGGGACCGAGGAUGGAGCGAACCUUGGGGCAGGACUGACCAGACCCAGAACCCAAGGUACUACGCGGCAAGCCGAAGAGCGUCAGAUCCAGGCACGUACGCUGCAGUCCAGCCGGCUUCCACCACCGCCGCCACUGCGGUAUAUAACGCGGAAUUGCCAAGCAGCAGGCCUCGGAGGCUCGCGGCCCCCUCCCUGCGCCCGGCCAUUAUCCAAUAUCGACCAAGAUACGCCCCUGUCCCACCCCUGGGCCGCAGCCCGCUCUCUGAUUGGUCAUUCAAUGGAUGAGGCUCCCCCCAGAAGCCUCGCACUACAGUUGGCCUUCGCCACGCCCACCUUCCCAUCUUUUUCUCCCGGCAACACUUCCACUCCCACCUGUUUGGCUUAGCCAUUGUGGCCUUGCUAGUUACCGAGACAGGCCCUGGCACUGCCGACUAUAACUUUGGCUUCAGUUUGCUUUAAUCCUGACCUACCUGGCAGUGAACAGAGAAUGGAGGUGUCCUCAGUCUCUGGUGCCAGACAUAGGGGUGUCAGUUUCCCACCUCCCCGAGACGCUGGGAAAACCAGGCCUGGGAUGAGACUGGGUCAGGCUGGGGAAGGAGCAGCAAAGAGCCCCUCCCACCUGCCUCCCUCAGGUCUGUAGUUGUGGGUGGGAGGGAGAUGAAUUAUAAUGAGUUUUAUUGUGGAGGUACUUGAUGUUUGUUGAGGCUGUUGUGGUUUCUUUACAGUUUCCUGAAUUCCUGAACUGCUCCAGCCUGACACCCAGUAAUAACCCUGGGGAGGGAAUGGGGUCACCCUCUGGGCUUCUGGGAUUAUUGUCUUCAGGUUUCCUGGAGACCUCCUGCGAUUUAUAGAAGAGGAGAUGCAGUGCAUCUCCCAGUGUCCUGCGUUCACCCCUAGUCUGUGCUUAUCUAAUCAAAUCUACUUUUUCCUUGCCUGUAUACCCAGCCCCAAGCAAAUAAAUAUUUUAAAACUU